AGUGAACGCUGGCGGUAGGCCUAACACAUGCAAGUCGAACGGCAGCACAGUAAGAGCUUGCUCUUACGGGUGGCGAGUGGCGGACGGGUGAGGAAUACAUCGGAAUCUACUUUUUCGUGGGGGAUAACGUAGGGAAACUUACGCUAAUACCGCAUACGACCUACGGGUGAAAGCAGGGGAUCUUCGGACCUUGCGCGAUUGAAUGAGCCGAUGUCGGAUUAGCUAGUUGGCGGGGUAAAGGCCCACCAAGGCGACGAUCCGUAGCUGGUCUGAGAGGAUGAUCAGCCACACUGGAACUGAGACACGGUCCAGACUCCUGAGGGAGGCAGCAGUGGGGAAUAUUGGACAAUGGGCGCAAGCCUGGUCCAGCCAUACCGCGUGGGUGAAGAAGGCCUUCGGGUUGUAAAGCCCUUUUGUUGGGAAAGAAAAGCAGCAGGUUAAUACCCCGCUGUUCUGACGGUACCCAAAGAAUAAGCACCGGCUAACUUCGUG
rnacentral:rRNA from 1 species